AAUAAAAACCCUCUCCAUGUGUUUGAAAUCAUAACACUUUUUAUAUUUUUUAUCACAGGUUCAAAUAUUGAGCGCCAAGCCUUUGACGCUAUUAAUACACAGGCCGCGAUUGAUCCAGACAGCGCAGCCGAUGAUUUUAUCCAAUUCAUCACACAACCCGCCUUUCAGACAGUUAUCGAUCUCACGCAAGAUGGCGACGAAGAUCCCACCGUCAACGUAACAGACAACAUCCCGCCUGAUUCCGCUCCGGCCCACAUCGAGAAUCCAAUAGGAUCCUGCGACGAAUCACUCCCUGGACCCGCUGACGAACCAGCGAGAAAGAAGACUAGAAAAACGAAUCGCCCCACCUCUCCGGGCAGUCCUGGACCGUGUGACGAACCACCAAGAAAGACUUAUCGUUUUACAGCGGUGGUCCGACCUGAAUCGAACGGCGAACUACCGAGAAAGGCUUAUCGUUUUACCCCGGCGAUCAGUCCCGAGAGCCCUCCAGAGAGGAAAACUCUCUGUCCGGUACCACCGAACAGCCCGGCGACCAGUCCUGAGACCGAUCUGUUUUAUGCAGACUCGAGUAGAAGCCAUAAGGAUGACGUGUCUACCACCAACGUGGGUCAAACGCCAUAUCCUUCUCCCUCACCGUCGUCCGAAGAAGUAGAAGUGGAAGAAGUGCCGGCGCCUCAGCCGCUUGAUGAAUCAUGCGACGAUCUGCCUCCGUUUCAUAGCCCCAUUAAUUCGAUACAAUCAUUCGGUCAAGAGUUUCGCGACGCACAGGUUGACAUAAACAACAAAUACGUCGAACUCCGCAACGUACAAGAUGAUAUUAACAACAAAUUGAUCGCGUUGGGCAACUCUUGACCGAAUGAUUGUAUCGAAUUAAUGGGGCUAUGAAACGGAGGCAGAUCGUCGCAUGAUUCAUCAAGCGGCUGAGGCGCCGGCACUUCUUCCACUUCUACUUCUUCGGACGACGGUGAGGGAGAAGGAUAUGGCGUUUGACCCACGUUGGUGGUAGACACCUCGUCACGCUCGCUCGUCCAAGAACUCUGGUCCCAGGCAUCGAUUUGAGACAUGCCCCAGGUAGUCACGUCAUCCUUAUGGCUUCUACUCGAGUCUGCUGGAUGUUAAAAAAAAUCUUAAUGUUUGACACCAUCUGGUUUAAAUGCAAAUAAUGUAGUUAGUCUCACCAUAAAACAGAUCGGUCUCAGGACUGGUCGCCGGGCUGUUCGGUGGUACCGGACAGAGAGUUUUCCUCUCUGGAGGGCUCUCGGGACUGAUCGCCGGGGUAAAACGAUAAGCCUUUCUCGGUAGUUCGCCGUUCGAUUCAGGUCGGACCACCGCUGUAAAACGAUAAGUCUUUCUUGGUGGUUCGUCACACGGUCCAGGACUGCCCGGAGAGGUGGGGCGAUUCGUUUUUCUAGUCUUCUUUCUCGCUGGUUCGUCAGCGGGUCCAGGGAGUGAUUCGUCGCAGGAUCCUAUUGGAUUCUCGAUGUGGGCCGGAGCGGAAUCAGGCGGGAUGUUGUCUGUUACGUUGACGGUGGGAUCUUCGUCGCCAUCUUGCGUGAGAUCGAUAACUGUCUGAAAGGCGGGUUGUGUGAUGAAUUGGAUAAAAUCUAAAAAAUAAAAUAAUUAGAUUCCUCAUAAACAUAAAAUUUUAAAUUUUAAAUUUUCAUAAAAAAUUAUGGAGACGGAUCUUGUCUUACCAUCGGCUGCGCUGUCUGGAUCAAUCGCGGCCUCUGUGAAAAAAAAAAAAAAAAAAAAAAAAUUAUGAUAAAAAAUAAUAAAUAAAUAAAUAAAUUAAUUAAUAAUAUACAAAAUUAAAAUACAUUCAUUUUAGUUUAUAAAAAGAAUAGUUAAUACGUACUUACGUGUAUUAAUAGCGUCAAAGGCUUGGCGCUCAAUAUUUGAACCUGUGAUAAAAAAAUAUAAAAAGUGUUAUGAUUUCAAACACAUGGAGAGGGUUUUAUUUUACAGUUUAAUGGAGCACACACACAUACACACACUGUGACAAAGAAAUCGUGAUGUCAUAACAUUAAACCGCAAGCAGAUGGCGCAAUUUUCACUAUAACGGCGUCAUUUCAUCCAGACUCACCGGGGGGAGCCAUUUCACAAUCAUAUCCUCAUAUGUCGUUUCACUGCGAACAGUUAGCAAACGGGAAAAAUGGUUUUCUGAGUCACGCUUAGUUACGCUUACACCUUCCGCGAUGUCGUCUUCAUAGAUGACAAACGGAUAACGGAGUGGCAAAACGUAGAUUUAACGGACCAGAAUUGUUUUUUCUGAUAUCCUAUACGUAGCAUUGAAGCAGGCAAAACUAAGCGCGCGUCAACCGGACGUCGUCAUAUUUUCAAAAUAAAAGUAUUUUAACAGGAUGGCGUCAUAUUUUCAAAAUAAAAGUAUUUUCAACAGGAUAUGGUGAUAUAUGCAAAAUAAAAGUAUUUUUUCAUUUUUUUUUUCAUUCAUGAUAUUAAGUCCAAUAACACAUACUUUAUAUUGUUAAAAAUAUCUCUAUCUGCAUAUGGCUGCGUAAUCUGCUUAACAUGAAAUAUUAAGACGACAUAAAGACGUCAUAGACUGUAAAAAUAGGCUUUGAUCAAUGAAUAGUUUUUUAAAUAUCACUAUCGGCAGAUGUCUGCGUAAUCUGAUUAACAUGAGGAAAAUUACGGGGAAUGACAUGAAAUAAUAAGACACCAUAGACUGUAAAAUUAACAUAACAGGCUUUGAUCAAUGAAUAGUUUUUAAAAUAUCACUAUCAGCAGAUGUCUGCGUAAUCUGCUUAACAUGAAGAAAAUUACGGGGAAUGACAUGAAAUAAUAAGACACCAUAGACUGUAAAAAUAACAUAACAUGCUUUGAUCAAUGAAUAGUUUUUUUUUAAAUAUCACUAUCAGCAGAUGUCUGCGUAAUCUGCUUAACAUGAAGAAAAUUACGGGGAAUGACAUGAAAUAAUAAGACACCAUAGACUGUAAAAAUAACAUAACAGGCUUUGAUCGAUGAAUAGUUUUUUUUAAAAUAACACUAUCAGCAGAUGUCUGUGUAAUCUGCUUAACAUGAAGAAAGUUACAGGAAUGACAUGAAAUAUGGUUUAAAACCAUCAUAGACUGUAAGAUAGCAUAACAUAAUUUGAUCAAUGAAUUGUUUUUUUAUUAAUAUCACUACCAUCAGAUAACAUGAAAUGAUAAAAUACUCACUUUGAUCCAUUGUCUUGGAAAGCAAAUGUCUUGGAGAGUCGUCCAAAAAGUUUUUCUGCUUCAAAGUGAUGGUUUGUAACGCGUAUAAAUAGGUUUAUAAGGGGCGCUGUGAAAGAAAAUCGGUGUUGAGUGACCACUAGGUGUCAUCCUUGUUCUAUGAAUGAACUUGUUCAAAAGGUGGGAAACUGAACCAGGGUCGCGCAUGUCGUCAUAAAUUAGAGGGGUACAAAGAGAUGCUAGCCGCUCGCCCACCGUAAUUCACAGAUGCAGCCGUCAGAAAACUGUCAAAAACAUGGUACUCCUUCGUGAGAUACGUUAGUUUUAAUUAGCAAUGUCUUUGAAGAUAUUAUGAUUUUGUAGUAAAUUCGGAAGAAAGAGAAGUGUAGCGUGCAAAAGAAGACGCUGUGAAUACUUGCGGGUCAGGAAGGUGAUGUGAAAACAACUCCUUUCAGCUCUCUAAACAUGGAUCUCGUUUUAUCUGAAAACAGUCGGUUUCAGUAUAUUUUUUUAUAACGGUUUCAUUUAUAACCUUUUUUUAAAAGAACAGAAUGUUUUUCAACCUUAGAAUAUGUAUAUUAUAUAAAGAACUACGUGUUUUGAAAGUCUGUUGUACUGUUGUACUACAAAGUCUCUGUCUCACUCCCUGGGGCACGAGCGCGCGCCUGCAGGCGCGCUAUCUCUCCGUAUCUCUCCUGAGGCACAAGCGCGGAUCAACCGUGUGCUAUCAUUCAGAGAGAGUCCGACAGAUGGAGCUGGAGUCCCGUUUCUCACAAAGCUGAAGCUUCUGUCUAAAUAAGGUAGGUGGAUUGCUUUAGUAAGCUUUUCAACCUUAGUUCAAUUGUUUUUAGAUUAUGUAUAUUAUAUAAAUUAUAUAAUG
ensembl:lncRNA